GGCCAGUGGUGGAUGACUUGGUUGGUUAGCCGAUGAAGGGCGUGACAAGCAGCGAAAUGCCGCGGGUAGACGCACGAAGUCUUUGAUCCGCGGAUCCCCGAAUUGGACUUCCUUGCACGGGUUAAUACCCUGUGUAGAUCCAGGGUCGCUCCUGGAUUGGGAACGCUCGGAACUGAAGCAUCUUAGUACGGGCAGGAAGAGAAAACAACAGUGAUUCCCUGAGUAACAGCGAGCGAAAGGGGAAAAGGCCAAACCGAAUCUUAGUGCGAAGAGUACUUGGAGAUGUGGUGUGCGGACCAUAGACAAUUGCCCACUCACCUAAGCCGAAGUCGUCUGGGACGACGUGGCACAGAGGGUGACACCCCCGUAGGCGUAAAGUGAAGGCAUGUCUGUGGAUCCCGAGUAGCACGGGUUGGUAAUCUCGUGUGAACGUCGCAGUUACAGUCUGCGAAGCCUAAAUACUCAACCAAACCGAUAGUAAACUAUGUAGCGCGAGCGAAAGUUGAAAAGCGCCGCGGAAGCGGGGUGAAAAGUACCUGAAACCAUUGGUCUACUCAAAGGAUGCUGAUUACAAGAGGAGAUGCUCGGGGAACGAGGCGUGAGUGAUUGCGUAGUAGGACUCGAGCGGAUCGAAUCGGCAUCAUCCGUCUUGAAACACGGGCCAGGGAGUUCAUGAGCGUGGCGAGGAUAAGGUGACAAACCGUAAACGAAGGGAAACCGACAUGCCCGCAGCCUUCGGGUGAGGGGCGGCGUGUGAAAGCGCGCGAAGUCACUCUCAUGACACGAGAAACCAGUCGAUCUAGGCUUGGCCAGGGUGAAGCCGGGCGAAAGCUCGGUGGAGGCCCGAAAGGGUUCUGACGUGCAACUCGUUCCGUUGAGCUGAGCGUAGGGGUAAAAGGCUUAUCUAGACUGGUGAUUGCUCGUUCUCCGCGAAGUUGGUCGCAGCCAAGCUCUGCUUGAGGUAUCAUGUGGUGUAGAGCACUUUCGGACGUGCUCGGGGGACGUCAAGUCCUUCACCGUCCUGAAAACUCCGAAGCUGCAUGAACCGUAGACGGCAGGAGACGGGUGCCCGGGGUAAGCCCGGCAGGCCGAGAUGGGGAGAACCGAGAGUAUGGUUAAGGUCCCUAAGUGCCAGAUAAGUGCGGUGAAGAAGGGCGUCGAGAGCCCAAGACAGUCUGGGGGUGAGCUUAGAAGCAGCUAUCCCCGAACGAAAGCGUAACAGCUCACAGACCGAGGCUCUCGGCCUUGAAAAUGGACGGGGCUAAAUCUGACCACCGAGACCAUACGGCACGCGGGUAACACUGCGUGAUCCGGUAGCGGAGCGAUCCGGUUGGGUAGAAGUGGGGCCGUGAGGUCCUGUGGACCGACCGGAUUUGAUGAUCCUGGCAGUAGUAACAGCGAAGCAUGGUGAGAAUCCAUGUCACCGAAAGGGAAAGGGUUCUUCGGCAAUGCGUCGUCAGCCGAAGCUUAGUCGAUCCUAAGUGGCGUCGUAACACGAGCGUCACGAAAGGGAAUCAGGUUAAUAUUCCUGAACCUUGGAGAUACGUCACGCGGCAACGCAAAGCCGGACUUGUGACUCAUCUGGACACACCGAGUACGAUUCUCUUCGUAUUUAACACCAUAAGCCUGUCGAGUACCGUAAUGGUGAGACACAGGCGAAAGGUGGAAUAGCAGGUGGUCGGACACCUGUUCGGUCUAUUCCUGGUGACCAUGAAAAACGAGUCCGGAAGAAUUCUCCGAGUCCGUACCCAGAUCUGACACAGGUUCCCUGGCUGAGAAGGCCAAGGUGUAUCAGAGUCAACCCUCCUGAGGGAAAUCGGCCAAUUAGCGGCGUAACUUCGGGAUAUGCCGUGCCUGGGUUAGUGCAAGCUUUCCUAGGUCUUAGCAACUAAGGGGUCCCAACUGUUUAAUACAAACAUAGCUGACUGCGAGCGCGUAAGCGUUAGUACAGUCAGUGAAUCCUGGUCUGUGCCCGUAUGUUAACACUCCGGAAGGGGUCCAAGCACGGGUUAACGCCGGGACUAACUAUGAGUCUCUUAAGGUAGCCAAACGCCUUGUCGGUUAAAUGCCGACGUGCAUGAAGGGAGCAAUGAGGUCCCCACUGUCCCCAGGAGUGCUCUGGUGAAACUACACCCAAGCGAACAGGCUUGGUAGUGCUAAUGGGAAGAGAAGUCCCUGCGGAGGUUUACUACGCAGCCUGUCGUUGCCAUCUCUGGGCACAUACAGAGCGUAGUCAGGAGCGUCGAACCACAGUCUCCGGGCUGUGGGAAUGCGACCAUGUAACACUGACUAUGUGUCUGGGGGUGGCUAACCUAGACCAAGUGAGUCUAGGGACACCGUCAGGUAGGCAGUUGGGCUGGGGCGGCACAGGGCUGACAGGAGAUCAGCCCUGACCAAAGCUGAGCUCAGAGGCGACAGAAACGUCUCGUUGAGAUUAAGGGCAUAAGCUCGGCUGACGGGAUCCCGCAAAGCAACGGAUCCCGAGACGAAAGUCUGGCCUAGCGAACUCCAACUGGCCCAUUGUGAGUGGUUGGAAUGACAGAAAACUUACCCCAGGGGUAACAGAGUUGUCGCGCGCUAGAGUUCCUAUCGACCGCGCGGCUUGCUUCCUCGAUGUCGGCUCUUGGUAUCCUCGGAUUGCAUAAGGUCCGAAGGGUGCGGGUGCUCACCGAUUAAAACCGAACGUGAGCUGGGUUUAGACCGUUGCGAGACAGGUUGGUUUCUAUCUAUUAGCACUGUUGAAUGGUUGCCGGUAAGAUGAUGCCGGUACGAGAGGAACGCAUCGUCGCGGCCAAUGGUGUACCGAUUGUCCGAAAGGGCAUUGUCGGGUAGCUAAGCCGUAACGGAUAACAGCUGAAUGCAUCUAAGCUGGAAGCCGGACCGUAAAACUAGC
rnacentral:rRNA from 1 species